CUGCUACUCCCUCUGUUCCAAAUUACUUGUCUUGGAUUUGUCUAGAUACAGAAGUAUCUAAUACUAAAAUGAGUCUAGAUACAUCCGUAUCUAGACAAAUCUAAAACAAGUAAUUCGAAACGAAGGGAGUAUAUA
rfam:Triticum urartu cultivar G1812 contig356240, whole genome shotgun sequence.